AGCGAACGCUGGCGGCAGGCCUAACACAUGCAAGUCGAACGAACCUUUCGGGGUUAGUGGCGGACGGGUGAGUAACACGUGGGAACGUGCCUUUAGGUUCGGAAUAACUCAGGGAAACUUGUGCUAAUACCGAAUGUGCCCUUCGGGGGAAAGAUUUAUCGCCUUUAGAGCGGCCCGCGUCUGAUUAGCUAGUUGGUUGAGGUAAUGGCUCACCAAGGCGACGAUCAGUAGCUGGUCUGAGAGGAUGAUCAGCCACAUUGGGACUGAGACACGGCCCAAACUCCUACGGGAGGCAGCAGUGGGGAAUCUUGCGCAAUAGGCGAAAGCCUGACGCAGCCAUGCCGCGUGAAUGAUGAAGGUCUUAGGAUUGUAAAAUUCUUUCACCGGGGACGAUAAUGACGGUACCCGGAGAAGAAGCCCCGGCUAACUUCGUG
rnacentral:rRNA from 1 species